GCGGAUGUGGCGGAAUUGGUAUACGCGCUGGUCUUAGGAACCAGUGCCAACGGCGUGGGGGUUCGAGUCCCUUCAUCCGCACCA
rnacentral:tRNA from 1 species